AGGGUCCCGGGGGGUCCCCUGACGGCGCUGUCCGGGCGCAGGCGGGUCGCGAUGGUGAAGCUGUUCAUCGGGAACCUGCCGCGGGAGGCGACGGAGCAGGAGAUCCGCUCCCUGUUCGAGCAGUACGGGAAGGUGCUGGAGUGCGACAUCAUCAAGAACUACGGCUUCGUGCACAUCGAGGACAAGACGGCGGCCGAGGACGCCAUCCGCAACCUGCACCACCACAAGCUGCACGGCGUCUGCAUCAACGUGGAGGCCAGCAAGAACAAGAGCAAGGCCUCCACCAAGCUGCACGUGGGCAACAUCAGCCCCGCCUGCACCAACCUGGAGCUGCGCGCCAAGUUCGAGGAGUACGGCCCCGUCAUCGAGUGCGACAUCGUCAAGGACUACGCCUUCGUGCACAUGGAGCGGGCGGAGGACGCGGUGGAGGCCAUCCGGGGGCUGGACAACACCGAGUUCCAGGGCAAGCGGAUGCGCGUGCAGCUGUCCACCAGCCGGCUGCGGACGGCGCCCGGGAUGGGAGACAAGAGCGGCUGCUACCGCUGCGGGAAGGAGGGGCACUGGUCUAAGGAGUGCCCGGUCGAUCGCCCGGGGCAAGUGGCGGACUUUGCCGAGGCCUAUAACGAGCAGUACGGGGCCGUGCGCGCUCCCUACGCCGCGGGCUACGGGGAGACCGUGUAUUACGAUGAGGCCUACGGCGGGAUGGCCGACUACUACAAGCGCUACCGCGUCCGCUCCUACGCCGCGGCCUCCGCGUACGACGCCUACGCGGAGCAGACCAUGGCCCAGUACUCCCAGUACGCCCAGUACUCCCAGGUCCAGUCCUCGGCCGUGGCCGCCGCCACCACGGCCAUGGCCGGCCGCCUCCCCGCCGCCCUCGACGCGUACGACCGAGCGCUGCUGCCGACCCCGGGCGCGGCGGCCGCCGUCGCCGCCGCCGCCACCGCCGCCGCGGCGGCCGCCUCCUCCACCUAUUACACCCGGGACAGGAGCCCCCUGCGCCGCACGGCCGCCGCGGCCAGCACCGUGGGAGAGGCGUACACGUACGAGCGCGGCCAGCUCUCGCCCGUCUCCUCGGUGGCCCGGGCCUCGCUCUACGACCUGCAGCGCUUCGAGCGGGACCCCUACGGGGAGCGGGCGCGCUAUUCCGCCUUCUGAGGAUGGCCGCGGAACCCCCGCCCCGGGACUCGCCCCCGUUGUCGCCGUGGCCUCGUGGCCCCCGGACGCCGACGCCGCGACAGGUGUGGCCCCGGACGGAUCCGUGUCCCCCCCGUCCCGCCUGAGCCCCCCCUUUUUGUAGGGCGCUCCCCCCCCGGCCCCUCCCGGGUGACCCCCGGCCUCGCCCGCCCGUUUUUCCAGCAAAAUAAACGUUUUCACCGAAUUUCGAAG